rnacentral:rRNA from 1 species
AUUGAACGCUGGCGGCAGGCCUAACACAUGCAAGUCGAACGAGUGGCGGACUGGUGGGUAAUGUCUUGGAAACUGCCUGAUGUAGGGGGAUAACUACUGUAAACGGUAGCUAAUACCGCAUACCAUCAGAUGUGCCCAGAUGGGAUUAUCUAGUUGGUGGGGUAACGGAUCACCAAGGCGACGAUGCCUAGCUGGUCUGAGAGGAUGACAGGCCACACUGGGACGGAGACACGGUCCAGACUCCUACGGGAGGCAGCAGUAGGGAAUAUUGCACAAUGGGCGCAAGCCUGAUGCAGCCAUGCCGCGUGAAUGAAGAAGGCCUUCGGGUUGUAAAGUACUUUCAGCGGGGAGGCGUUACCUGCAGAAGAAGCACCGGCUAACUCCGUGCCAGCAGCCGCGGUAAUUC